GCUCCCUCCGGUAAAAUACCUGCGCGCCCUACUCCACAGAAAAACACUGCUGAAGAAGACGAGCUUGCUGCAUUACAAGCAGAAAUGGCAUUAUGAGGGGUGCUUUGUUGUAAAAUGCAAAAAGAGGGAUGCCGAAGUGGUUGGAUGUUUGCUGCAGUGGAGUUCUCCAGAUCGUCUAAAUUCCAGUACUCAGUGUGUACAAAGUUGUCUACUGUUGCCUGAGUGAGGAAAUUACCCUCUUAUCUGACUGUCUAUUCAUUUGGUUGAAUUGUUUUUAUUUUUGUAAACCUAUAUACGUGGAGUCGCUGUGAUUGAGUUAAUCAUACCUAUAUAUACAUAGU
rnacentral:misc_RNA from 1 species